rnacentral:rRNA from 1 species
UACGAAGGGGCGAGCGUUGUUCGGAUUUACUGGGCGUAAAGGGCGCGCAGGCGGUUCUGUUUGUCGAGUGUGAAAGCCCCGGGCUCAACCUGGGAACUGCGCUCGAAACGGCAGAACUAGAGUUCGGGAGAGGAGAGUGGAAUUCCCAGUGUAGAGGUGAAAUUCGUAGAUAUUGGGAAGAACACCGGUGGCGAAGGCGGCUCUCUGGACCGAUACUGACGCUGAGGCGCGAAAGCGUGGGGAGCAAACAGG